UACGAAGGGGGACUAGCGUUGUUCGGAAUCACUGGGCGUAAAGCGCACGUAGGCGGAUAUGUCAGUCAGGGGUGAAAUCCCGGGGCUCAACCUCGGAACUGCCUUUGAUACUGCAAAUCUCGAGUCCGGAAGAGGUGAGUGGAAUUCCUAGUGUAGAGGUGAAAUUCGUAGAUAUUAGGAAGAACACCAGUGGCGAAGGCGGCUCACUGGUCCGGUACUGACGCUGAGGUGCGAAAGCGUGGGGAGCAAACAGG
rnacentral:rRNA from 1 species